ACGUAGGGUGCGAGCGUUGUCCGGAAUUAUUGGGCGUAAAGAGUUCGUAGGUGGUUCGUUACGUCGGAUGUGAAAAUCUGGGGCUCAACCCCAGACCUGCAUUCGAUACGGGCGAGCUAGAGUUUGGUAGGGGAGACUGGAAUUCCUGGUGUAGCGGUGGAAUGCGCAGAUAUCAGGAGGAACACCAAUGGCGAAGGCAGGUCUCUGGGCCAAUACUGACACUGAGGAACGAAAGCGUGGGGAGCGAACAGG
rnacentral:rRNA from 1 species